CCUACGGGAGGCAGCAGUGAGGAAUAUUGGUCAAUGGACGCUAGCCUGAACCAGCCAAGUAGCGUGAAGGAUGACUGCCCUAUGGGUUGUAAACUUCUUUUAUAUGGGAAUAACAUGUUCCAUGUAUACUACUUUGUAUGUACCAUAUGAAUAAGGAUCGGCUAACUCCGUGCCAGCAGCCGCGGUAAUACGGAGGAUCCGAGCGUUAUCCGGAUUUAUUGGGUUUAAAGGGAGCGUAGGCGGGUUGUUAAGUCAGUUGUGAAAGUUUGCGGCUCAACCGUAAAAUUGCAGUUGAUACUGGCAGCCUUGAGUACAGUAGAGGUAGGCGGAAUUCGUGGUGUAGCGGUGAAAUGCUUAGAUAUCACGAAGAACUCCGAUUGCGAAGGCAGCCUGCUGGACUGUAACUGACACUGAGGCUCGAAAGUGUGGGUAUCAAACAGGAUUAGAUACCCGAGUAGUC
rnacentral:rRNA from 1 species